rnacentral:misc_RNA from 1 species
UCUGGAUCACCAUGCCUCCUACAAGACGGAGAGAGGCCUAGAUCUGCAGGAAGUGACAAGCAAGAUGUAGCAGAAUCUGGCCCUCCUUAUCCAAAAGGGUCUGCAGAAAAAAAAGAUUCUUCUCAGAAUAAAAGUUCUUCAUCAGAAACUGACACAAAACGCGCGAAACAGCAAUUUGCUCAGCGGUCACGUGUCAGAAAGCUUCAAUAUAUAGCGGAAUUGGAAAGAAAUGUACAAGCUUUGCAGGCUGAAGGUUCUGAAGUUUCUGCUGAGCUUGAAUUCCUUAACCAGCAGAAUCUUAUCCUCAGCAUGGAGAAUAAAGCCCUAAAGCAGCGCUUAGAAAAUUUAGCUCAGGAACAGCUCAUAAAGUAUUUGGAACAUGAAGUUCUGGAAAGAGAAAGAGGAAGAUUACGAGCAUUGUAUCAGCAACAACAUCAACAGCCACAGCCACAGCAACAGAAGCCAUCUCACAGCCAUCGUCGCAGCACUAGUAGGGAUCUCGAUCAACAAUUUGCAAACCUCACUCUGAAACAAAAAGAGGCUGAGCUUGAUGCUGUUUCAGGACAACUCCACAUUUGACCGUAAGUGUAGCUAUGCCUUUAAUCAUGUCUUACUGACUGUCCCUCAGUUGACUUUGCCAUGGAGUGACAAAAGUUCACUAUUUCCAUUGUGCGAUAUCAAGAAGAGAGGUCUUGCUUCCCGUGUGCUCACCUCCAACGGGUUUG